GCUGGCGGCGUGCUUAACACAUGCAAGUCGCACGGAAAGGCCCUGCUUUUGUGGGGUGCUCGAGUGGCGAACGGGUGAGUAACACGUGAGUAACCUGCCCUUGACUUUGGGAUAACUUCAGGAAACUGGGGCUAAUACCGGAUAGGAGCUCCUGCUGCAUGGUGGGGGUUGGAAAGUUUCGGCGGUUGGGGAUGGACUCGCGGCUUAUCAGCUUGUUGGUGGGGUAGUGGCUUACCAAGGCUUUGACGGGUAGCCGGCCUGAGAGGGUGACCGGCCACAUUGGGACUGAGAUACGGCCCAGACUCCUACGGGAGGCAGCAGUGGGGAAUAUUGCACAAUGGGCGGAAGCCUGAUGCAGCAACGCCGCGUGCGGGAUGACGGCCUUCGGGUUGUAAACCGCUUUCGCCUGUGACGAAGCGUGAGUGACGGUAAUGGGUAAAGAAGCACCGGCUAACUACGUG
rnacentral:rRNA from 1 species